GUUCUCCUUCCAGGACCAGGCCUGUCCGAGUCUCUAAGGCUGAGAGUGGAAUUCUUCUCGGAGCCUUUCUGCAUUUGUCAGCGUGUGAGCGCCGGGCACACAGGCCCGGCUUGCGGCAUCCGGGAGAAAGUGACAAUCUCUGCAGACAGUGAAUGAGCCGAAUGCCUGAAAAAGUGUGUAACGCACGUGAUGCCCUAACCGUAUCGGAGUUUACAGGAUGACACCUUGAGCGUUUACAGCUUCAACAUCCCAGCCCCUGGCACGCUCACGCCCCGGUUGCUCAGUGUGCACCCCCUACGUCCUCCCUGGUGGAGUUGACCCUGGGGCAGUCUUCUAUCAGGACUACGCUAGGCAUCGGGGACCACUAAAAAUAGUAUCUGACUUCCAUUAAUGCUAGAAAAUGCUUCCCCUUCUCUGUUUUCGUGCCUGGGCUCCCACCGGUUUCAGAUGGACUUGGGUGAAGACCCUGGCUUUUACAAAAGCAAACACCUGGCAGGGCCCAAGUGUGAACUCUUCAGGAGGCCUUAGAAGCACUGCAGGGACGG